rnacentral:rRNA from 1 species
UACGUAGGUGGCAAGCGUUGUUCGGAAUUACUGGGCGUAAAGCGCGUGUAGGCGGGUCUUUUAAGUCAGGGGUGAAAUGCCAGGGCUCAACCUUGGAACUGCCUUUGAUACUGGAGACCUUGAGUCCGGGAGAGGUGAGUGGAAUUGCGAGUGUAGAGGUGAAAUUCGUAGAUAUUCGCAAGAACACCAGUGGCGAAGGCGGCUCACUGGCCCGGAACUGACGCUGAGACGCGAAAGCGUGGGGAGCAAACAGG